UACGUAGGCAGCGAGCGUUUGUUCGGAGUUACUGGGCGUAAAGGGUGUGUAGGCGGCCUAUUAAGUUUGGUGUGAAAUCUCCCGGCUCAACCGGGAGGGUGCGCCGAAAACUGGGAGGCUAGAGUGCGGGAUGGGAGAGUGGAAUUCCUGGUGUAGCGGUGAAAUGCGCAGAUAUCAGGAGGAACACCGGUGGCGAAGGCGGAUCUCUGGGCCUUACCUGACGCUGAGGCGCGAAAGCUAGGGGAGCAAACAGG
rnacentral:rRNA from 1 species